UGGGGAAUAUUGGGCAAUGGAGGGAACUCUGACCCAGCAACGCCGCGUGAAGGAUGAAGGUUUUCGGAUUGUAAACUUCUGUCGCAGGGGACGAAGAAUGACGGUACCCUGUAAGAAAGCCCCGGCAAACUACGUGCCAGCAGCCGCGGUAAUACGUAGGGGGCAAGCGUUGUCCGGAAUGACUGGGCGUAAAGGGAGUGUAGGCGGCUUUUUAAGUUACAUGUGAAAUCCCACGGCUUAACCGUGGAACUGCAUGUAAAACUGGAGGGCUGGAGUGCAGGAGAGGUAAGUGGAAUUCCUAGUGUAGCGGUGGAAUGCGUAGAUAUUAGGAGGAACACCAGUGGCGAAGGCGACUUACUGGACUGUAACUGACGCUGAGGCUCGAAAGCGUGGGUAGCAAACAGG
rnacentral:rRNA from 1 species